AGUUGUACGCAUACCCAACUGAAGCUUUCUUCCCUUCUCCAGUGGAGUGCACCUGGCACAGAAACUCUCUCUGUACCACGUACCUGCUGCCAGAAGCUGGGAAGGAGUGGUGCUGGUGAUUCAAAACUGAUUUUCCUGCCUCUUCGAUGCCUCUUUUAGUGACAUACAGUUAAGACCAGGCACUGAAGAGGCCAGUGCACCAAGGAGUGCAGCUGCAGGCAUGGGGGUGGGCAGGAGGCACAGAGCCGGUGCUGAGGGGCUGCAGUCAGAGCAGGAGGUUGAGAAAAAGGCUUAUGGAGAGAGAAAGAAGAAAGCAAUAUCCCGUCUACCUACAGUCCCUUGAGUGUUCUUUCAACUACCUGCCACCUAUCCACCAGCUCCCCUUGGACCCCAGCUUGGGUGGGAACCUGACACUUGGCAUACUAAGCAGCAUUCUGAGGGAGAGGAUCUGAGAUGGUAUAGAAGUGUUUGUAUCCCAGCAGCAGGUGGAAGCCAGGGGAUGUCUACCAAAGUUGUAAAUGCAUGUAUUCUGUGGUGUAGCUGAGAGAUAGCUGCCUCACAGAGUAUGCCAUGGAAAAUUCUAAGGAUGAUGAGGCCAGACCACUCUGCAUGGAUCCACAGCAGGUAAAUCCACUUCUGAGGAGAAGAAUGAAAGCCAAGGCAGAUAUGAAAGAGCCAUGGACUGCUGACCUUUGAACCCUGAGAGGAGUGCAGAGCUCACUCAUAUUCUAAUGAAGUAUUUUUCUACCCUUAUUAUGAUUCUGACUCACUAUACUUCUUAUCAAAAUUACAUGAUGAGGAAUUGUAUGUUUGAAUAGCAGUCAAAUGAGAAGAGACUUUAUCAUUUAGCAAAUCUAUCUGCCCAAUUUCGUAGCUUGAGACAAUGCAAAAAUGUCAAC
rnacentral:lncRNA from 10 species